GAAGCUUAAGUCGAUGAGAGACAUCAAGAUGAUACCUUGAAGGUAGGGGCUAGCCCCAUGCUUCA
rnacentral:tRNA from 1 species